GGUGAGGUGGGUGAGAGGCUGAAACCACCAGUUUGCUAAACUGACGUACGGGAAACUGUACCGCGGGUUCGAAUCCCGCCCUCACCG
rnacentral:tRNA from 1 species